rnacentral:lncRNA from 1 species
UGCUUUUAUUUUAAAUCUUACUAGAACACACCCGCGAAAUCGCGGGCAUUCAGAGCGUAGUUUAAAGUAUGUAAAGUGUUGUUGGAAGAAUUUUGUAAAAUACAGAAUGACUGGAGAAUUUCAGCAAAAGUAUCAUAAGUCAUAGGUUAUUGGGGACAGGAAAAUGUUUUUUUUACCCUCCACCUCUAUUUCCAAAGUUCCAAAUUUUUGGUUUUCUAUCAAUUUCAAUAUGAACAUACAUUUAGUAUGUUAUGAACAUUUAUUUAAGUAAGGAGCCUGUAAUUCAGUGGUUGUCGUUUGUUUAUGUGUUACAUAUUUGUUUUUCGUUCAUUUUUUGUACAUAAAUAAGGCCGUUGGUUUUCUCGUUUGCAUUGUUUUACAUUGUCAUUUCGGGCCUUUUGAAGCUGAGUAUGCGGUAGGGCUUUGCUCUUUGUUGAAGGCCGUACGGUGACCUAUAGUUGUUAAUAUCUGUGUCAUUUUGGUCUCUUGUGGAGAGUUGUCUUAACAUGGCAAUCAUACCACAUCUUCUUUUUUUUUAUGUAAUCAAUGAAUUUUGUAAAAGAUUUAAUGACUGGGAGAAUUUCAGAAAAAGUAUCAAAAGUUCACAUGAAUAAUUUUAGCGCUUAUCUGUAUAUUAUGAACAUUCAUUACUUUAAAGCGUAUUUACUUUCAAUUCUAAGUUUACUAAUCGAUCCAUGGUGAUCAUUGAUAUAGUAUACAGACCCUCUCUAUUUAAUAAACUCUGUG